AUUCCAGCACAAGGAGGGUUAACACGUGGCUCUGAGCUUUCCAGUCACCAUUACUGCCCAAGUUGGGGGAAAAGGAGAUUGAGUGAGGGGGGGAGGGAGAAGGGAGGAAGUAAUGGGGGAGGGAGAUGCUGUUUGCAGACACAUUGCUCCUUUGCAACAGAUGUUUCAUCAGUGUUAGACAAAAGCAAAGAGCCUUGAGCUGCUGAGAGAAAAUCCGCAGGACUCCCUUAGGGCCAGGUGCCUUGAGGAGCUGCAGCCAGAGCCGGGUACCAUCACCUAUUGGACAGUUACAGAGGAGACAUUUCCACCGAGCACAGCCUGAGAAGAAAAUCAAGGUCAGAAGAGUGAUUUCUCCUAGCUGAAACACAAGCUCAGAAAGAAAUCCUGCAUGGUAGGCUCUCCUUCCCUUGAAUCUUCCACCCACCACGGGCAGCAAAAAAGGACCAGGCUCCCAGAGGCCCGGCCUGGAAGGAAUUCUGCUCAGGAAGAGUCGCUGAGACCACCCAAAUUGCCGGGGAACAGAGGCCCUGGCCACCCCAGGAGCCGGGCCGAACUGGCAACCUCUGCGUUCUCCAGCCGCAGCCAAGCAGGAGGACGGCAGCUUGACCACAGCCCUGGAUCAAGCCUGCGGAUCACGCCAUGUCGGGCCUGGGAAGAGCUUCGAGUUCUCUCCUGCCCGUGUGUGGCUGUGCCAGCCAACAUCAUGGGGCAGACUGCCCUAGCCAGGUGGCCCAAGUCCGACUCCUCCCAGGGCCUCAAACCCACCCCAUUGACUGUUUCUCCCCCUAAAAGUGGAGCUAGCGGCUGUCCCCCCAGAAUAAAGAGCAGACAGGGUGGGCGGAGAGGGGGCUGCGACUCUCCUUCCCUGGAUCUCUCCUUUGUCAAUUCUUGAAGGCUCCUGGCUCUGCUUUUCUGUUCCGCUUCUCCAAAGGAACUCAGAGGCCCUGCCCUCUGCCCCCACUCUCCCUGGCUGUGAUUCACUGCUCCCACUGGCUCCGCCCCAGCCCCAGCCCCAGCCCUAAGGAGGGCUUACAUUUGCCAAGGAAAAACUCACAGGCUUUCAGAUCUGUCCAAAGAGGACCAUUCUCAGCAGGCAGGGAGGGAAGAAGGGAUCAAGGAGAGGCCAGGGUAUUUCUUCCCCUUA
rnacentral:lncRNA from 1 species